rnacentral:rRNA from 1 species
UGCACGUCUAAGUACUCGCCUUGUCUAUAAAGUGAAACCGCGAAUGGNUNNNNNNUCAGUUAUGGUUCACUAGACAGUACCUCAUCCUACNCGGAUAACUGUGGUAAUUCUAGAGCUAAUACAUGCAACUAGGCCCCGCCCGGCGUGCUGUGCUCGUCGCGGUACGUCGGAAAGGGCGCCAUUAUCAGCCCAAAACCGACCGGGUCGCUUCCCUUCCCUUCACCGGGUUGUGGAAUGCUCCCGUCCUUAUACCCUUUGACGACUCUGGAUAACCUGUCAGCGGAUCGCUGGGUAACUAGGUCUCCGGUGGGUAUAGGGUUAAGGGGUUUUCCAACUCCUUUUCCCGCCUGCCGGUCAUGACCUACAGCGACCAGUCUUUCAAAUGUCUGCCUUAUCAACUGUCGACGGUAGGUUAGACGCCUACCGUGGUCGUAACGGGUGACGGGGAAUCAGGGUUCGAUUCCGGAGAGGGAGCCUGAGAAACGGCUACCACAUCCAAGGAAGGCAGCAGGCACGCAAAUUACCCAAUCCCAGCACUGGGAGGUAGUGACGAAAAAUAACGAUACGGGACUCUUAACGAGGCCUCGUAAUCGGAAUGAGUCCGCUCUAAAUCCUUUAACGAGGAUCUAUCGGAGGGCAAGUCUGGUGCCAGCAGCCGCGGUAAUUCCAGCUCCGAUAGCGUAUAUUAAAGUUGCUGCGGUUAAAAAGCUCGUAGUUGGAUUUGGGUUUUCGGGCCGGCAGGCCGCCGCCUUCGAGCGGCGCGUUUCCCGCCGCGCCCCCGGAACCGCACGGUCGCAGAGGCCCCCGCGGUGCUCUUCAGUGAGUGUCCGCGGUCUCGGGUCGCCGAACGUUUACUUUGAAAAAAUUAGAGUGCUCCAGGCAGGCCGGAUAAAGCGUUUUUAAACACCGCGCCUGAAUAGUCACGCAUGGAAUAAUGAAAGAGGACCGGUGGUCCUAUUUUGUUGGUUUUAAGGAUUUUCCGCCGUCAUGAUUAAGAGGGACGGCCGGGGGCAUUCGUACCGCGGCGCGAGAGGUGAAAUUCUAGGACCGUCGCGAGACGAACCGUUGCGAAAGCAUUUGCCAAGAAUGUUUUCCUUAAUCAAGAACGAAAGUCAGAGGUUCGAAGGCGAUCAGAUACCGCCCUAGUUCUGACCGUAAACGAUGCCACCUGACGAUCCGCCAGGGUUACUACCAUGACUCGGCGGGCAGUCCCCGGGAAACCCAAGCCUUCGGGUUCCGGGGGAAGUAUGGUUGCAAAGCUGAAACUUAAAGGAAUUGACGGAAGGGCACCACCAGGAGUGGAGCCUGCGGCUUAAUUUGACUCAACANNNNGNNCCUCACCCGGCCCGGACACCGCGAGGAUUGACAGAUUGAGAGCUC